UUGGAAACCUCAGAGCAGUGCUUCUCAAAUGUUAACGUGCAUACGAUGAAUCACGUGGGCAUCUUGUUAAAAUGCAGAGUUUUGAGUCGAGGGUCUGGGGAGGGCUGAGAUUGUGCACUUCUAAGGAGAUGCCAGGUGGUGCUAAUUCUGCUGCACUGGACACCACACUUAGAGUGGCGAGGUCACUAAAUAAUAGGAGCAAAAGGAUCGUGAGAACACCGACAUCAGUGAGAAGGAGGCUGGCUGCAGAGACCAUGGUAAGCUCCUCCCCUUGUGUUCAGGCCAGACCUAUUGACCUGCUUCUCAUGAAUGGAAUAUGACAAAAGCAAUGGGAUGUCACUUUCAUGAUGAGGUUGCAAGAGGUUGUGAUUUCUACUUUGCUAGGAAUCUCUCUUGCUGCUGCUUUCUCCUCUCUAUUGACUUCUUGGCUUGUGUGCUUUGAUGCUGAAACCA
rnacentral:lncRNA from 10 species